AAGGACUGUGCUCCCAAUCCGCUUAUGCUCAAGGAAGAACUGAGACCAGGCCCACAGAGUAUGGCUGUGCAAGUUGUUUACUGUACGAGGGCACCUGGCCGGGGUCUUACCUUGAAUGGGGGAGAAGAGCUUGAAGAUGAGGGGACAGGCCAAGACAACUACCUGGCCCCGAGGGGUGGCUGGCCAGCAGAUGAGGGAAUGGAGGCACAGACUGAUUAGAAAACCAGCUCAAGGUCAUGUUGCUGCUCUCUCAUUCCUGUUGAGGGCUCUCUGGUGGAGCCUGUCUCACAGGCCACCUGCAGGCCAACACUCCCAGAAGCAGCUAGCACCAUGGUUGACCUCGUCCAGGUCCAGGGAAGGCCUCCCUCUCCAGGACUCCUUUAGAUUUCCCCAGCAUCCAGACCUCACCUGCCAAAGUGCCGUAGCCCUGGAAGCCACACAGUGAGCACGAGCUCCAUCUUGCACCUUUACCAGCCGAUGAGGGUAAAGACAUUAGCUGGGUUACUCAGGCUGAAAUGCUCAAGACACUCUGUCUCAAGGGAUUUGUGGCUGGUUCAUCCUCAAGUAUAGGGGGAAUAGUGGCCAGGAAGAUCUCAGAGGUGGCUUCUGGAAGAGGAACCUGGGUACUGGCUACCCUGCCUUGUGUCCCAUCAUUGGUCUGUCUUGCCUGCCUUGGAGCACAUUUCUCACCAAGGUUCAUAGGCCAUGUUCAACCCCCUCAAGGGAAGCCUGAGACCACAGCUACUGCCUUGAAUCAGAAGCCCCAGCC
rnacentral:antisense_RNA from 1 species